UACGUAGGGGGCUAGCGUUGUCCGGAAUCAUUGGGCGUAAAGAGCGUGUAGGCGGCUCGAUAAGUCCGCUGUGAAAGUCCAGGGCUCAACCCUGGAAGGCCGGUGGAAACUGUCGGGCUAGAGUCCGGAAGAGGCGAGUGGAAUUCCUGGUGUAGCGGUGAAAUGCGCAGAUAUCAGGAGGAACACCAAUGGCGAAGGCAGCUCGCUGGAACGGUACUGACGCUGAGGCGCGAAAGCGUGGGGAGCGAACAGG
rnacentral:rRNA from 1 species